rnacentral:rRNA from 1 species
CCUACGGGAGGCAGCAGUGAGGAAGAGGGGGCAAGGGACGAGAGUCUGAACCAGCCAAGGAGCGUGAAGGAUGACUGCCCUAUGGGUUGUAAACUUCUUUUAUAUGGGAAUAAAACGUUCCACGUGUGGGAUUUUGUAUGUACCAUAUGAAUAAGGAUCGGCUAACUCCGUGCCAGCAGCCGGGGUAAUACGGAGGUUCCGAGCGUUAUCCGGAUUUAUUGGGUUUAACGCGAGCGUAGGUGGAUUGUUAAGUCAGUUGUGAAAGUUUGCGGCUCAACCGUAAAAUUGCAGUUGAAACUGGCGGUCUUGAGUACAGUAGAGGUGGGCGGAAUUCGUGGUGUAGCGGUGAAAUGCUUAGAUAUCACGAAGAACUCCGAUUGCGAAGGCAGUUCACUGGACUGCAACUGACACUGAGGCUCGAAAGUGUGGGUAUCAAACAGGAUUAGAUACCCCGGUAGUC